AUUGAACGCUGGCGGAAUGCUUUACACAUGCAAGUCGAACGGUAGAGGGGGCAACCCCUCGAGAGUGGCGAACGGGUGAGUAAUAUAUCGGAACGUGCCCAGUCGUGGGGGAUAACGCAGCGAAAGUUACGCUAAUACCGCAUACGAUCUAAGGAUGAAAGCGGGGGAUCGCAAGACCUCGCGCGAUUGGAGCGGCCGAUAUCAGAUUAGGUAGUUGGUGGGGUAAAGGCUCACCAAGCCAACGAUCUGUAGCUGGUCUGAGAGGACGACCAGCCAAACUGGAACUGGGACACGGUCCAGACUCCUACGGGAGGCAGCAGUGGGGAAUUUUGGACAAUGGACGCAAGUCUGAUCCAGCCAUUCCGCGUGCAGGAUGAAGGCCCUCGGGUUGUAAACUGCUUUUGUACGGAACGAAAAGGUCUCUCUUAAUACGGGGGGCUCAUGACGGUACCGUAAGAAUAAGCACCGGCUAACUACGUGCCAGCCGCCGCGGUAA
rnacentral:rRNA from 1 species